rnacentral:tRNA from 1 species
CAUUAGAUAGCUGAAAGUCAGUUUUGGUCUCUUAAACCACUUUAUAGUAAAUUAACGCUUACUUCUAAUGA